rnacentral:rRNA from 1 species
AUUGAACGCUGGCGGCAUGCCUUACACAUGCAAGUCGAACGGCAGCGGGGGAGAAGCUUGCUUUUCCUGCCGGCGAGUGGCGAACGGGUGAGUAAUACAUCGGAACGUGCCCUGUAGUGGGGGAUAACUAGUCGAAAGAUUAGCUAAUACCGCAUACGACCUGAGGGUGAAAGUGGGGGACCGCAAGGCCUCAUGCUAUAGGAGCGGCCGAUGUCUGAUUAGCUAGUUGGUGGGGUAAAGGCCUACCAAGGCGACGAUCAGUAGCUGGUCUGAGAGGACGAUCAGCCACACGGGGACUGAGAAACGGCCCAGACUCCUACGGGAGGCAGCAGUGGGGAAUUUUGGACAAUGGGCGAAAGCCUGAUCCAGCAAUGCCGCGUGUGUGAAGAAGGCCUUCGGGUUGUAAAGCACUUUUGUCCGGAAAGAAAUGGCUCUGGUUAAUACCUGGGGUCGAUGACGGUACCGGAAGAAUAAGGACCGGCUAACUACGUGCCAGCCGCCGCCGUAA